CCUACGGGGGGCAGCAGUGAGGAAUAUUGGUCAAUGGACGAGAGUCUGAACCAGCCAAGUAGCGUGAAGGAUGACUGCCCUCUGGGUUGUAAACUUCUUUUAUAUGGGAAUAAAAUGUUCCACGUGUGGGAUUUUGUAUGUACCAUAUGAAUAAGGAUCGGCUAACUCCGUGCCAGCAGCCGCGGUAAUACGGAGGAUCCGAGCGUUAUCCGGAUUUAUUGGGUGUAAAGGGAGCGUAGGUGGAUUGUUAAGUCAGUUGUGAAAGUUUGCGGCUCAACCGUAAAAUUGCAGUUGAAACUGGCAGUCUUGAGUACAGUAGAGGUGGGCGGAAUUCGUGGUUUAGCGGUGAAAUGCUUAGAUAUCACGAAGAACUCCGAUUGCGAAGGCAGUUCACUGGACUGCAACUGACACUGAGGCUCGAAAGUGUGGGUAUCAAACAGGAUUAGAUACCCGGGUAGUC
rnacentral:rRNA from 1 species